rnacentral:rRNA from 1 species
UACAGAGACUGCAAGCGUUAUUCGGAUUCACUGGGCGUAAAGGGUGCGCAGGCGGCCGGGUGUGUGGGGCGUGAAAGCCUGGGGCUUAACUCCAGAAUUGCGCCUCAAACUACACGGCUAGAGCAUUGGAGAGGGUAGCGGAAUUCACGGUGUAGCAGUGAAAUGCGUAGAUAUCGUGAGGAACACCAGAGGCGAAGGCGGCUACCUGGACAAUUGCUGACGCUCAGGCACGAAAGCGUGGGGAGCAAAAGGG